ensembl:lncRNA
CCAGUCAGAGUUUUAACAACAAUGGACAACAACACAGAACACACCAACAGCUGAACCACUUGACGCCAUGUUUACCGUUUAAUGGGAAAGAAGGCUUGUCGCCUUUAUUAUGUCCAUGGUCGUCGCAUGGACUAUACGUCAUCCAGCUCAGGUUGCGUAGCCGUGCGUGUGCGUGUGUCGGCUCAUUAGCAUCUGUACCGUAGCGGCCUGUACCGUAGCAGCACACCUCUCCCAAGUGGCCAAAUUGGCCUGGCCUGGCCAGACUGGCCACACUCACACUGGCAGAUUUGAGCACGGUUAGGUGGCCGUUGGCCGUUGCAACUGUGGCCUGGCCACGGUAGGCUCUUGUACAUACGUCAUCACGUUGUAACACGUCAUCACCAAGCGUCCGCUGCAUGGACCAUAAUAAAGUCUGCCGCCAGUCAGAGUUUUAACAACAAUGGACAACAACACAGAACACACCAACAGCUGAACCACUUGACGCCAUGUUUACCGUUUAAAGGGAAAGAAGGCUUGUCGCCUUUAUUAUGUCCAUGGUCGUCGCAUGGACUACACGUCAUCCAGCUCAGGUUGCGUAGCCGUGCGUGUGCGUGUGUCGGCUCAUUAACAUCUGUACCGUAGCGGCCUGUACCGUAGCAGCACACCUCUCCCAAGUGGCCAAAUUGGCCUGGCCUGGCCAGACUGGCCACACUCACACUGGCAGAUUUGAGCACGGUUAGGUGUGAAAACGGCCAUAAACCCGUUUGUUAGUUAGCGGUUAAACAAAAUGCGAUCUCUUUGUUUACAGUUACCAACGACCAACGUUUAAAGACUGAUUCUUGGGUCGUCGAUUCCCUAGUGAUGCAAGGUUUUUUCUUUCAUUUCUUUCAUUUUGGACUGCACACACAUCGCGAGUGACGGAUACGCGCACAAUGUACACACAUCACUGUCUUUACAAUCUCUAGGCAACCGAAGUUUAAAGAUUGUCAAGUGGUUAACUCUUGAAUCACAUGUACUAAGACCUGAUGGGUUAGUGGUCAGAGAACAACUCAGUAACGCGGGGAUAAGGGGUUCGAUUCCUUAAUGAAGCUAGCUUUUUUCUUUCAUAUUUGACUGGAUGUUUCUAUGCCAUUUUGCAAGUGUAUCAACUUCCCUUAUGUGUUUACAUUGUAGGCUACAUACAAUGUAGCCUUAGGGUAAACACCAGGGUACAAAUAGCAUAUACUGAUAAUUGUACCAGCGUAACUUGUAGUUUAUGAUGAAGAAAUGUUACUGGGGUUAAGGUUAGGGUAACGGUAAGCGUAAGACAGUGUUUUUGCAACACAAUAUUUCUUACAAUAACACAAACUCCAAAGUUUUGAUGACUCCCGUAGGAAACUUAAGAUACCUAGAGAAAUGCGUGAGUGCUCACAAAACAUCAACAAGUCAGCAGUGUGGUACAGGGUGAUCAUUUCUGAUAUACAGUACAAAAGCUGAAACUAUUAGCCAGGAGUGGGAAAGAUGCAGACGCAGACGUGGGAAGCAAUAAGACACACCAACACACAGUUGCCUGUUGCAAAAUGGUUCAGAGUUUGAUAUAAAUAGUUAGGGUUAGCUAGGGAUUUUUUUUAAAAAAGUGUUUGCUUGGUAUGGUGUUAUCUGGUA